GAUGAACGCUGGCGGCGUGCCUAAUACAUGCAAGUCGAGCGAACAGAUAAGGAGCUUGCUCCUUUGACGUUAGCGGCGGACGGGUGAGUAACACGUGGGUAACCUACCUAUAAGACUGGGAUAACUUCGGGAAACCGGAGCUAAUACCGGAUAACAUUUGGAACCGCAUGGUUCUAAAGUGAAAGAUGGUUUUGCUAUCACUUAUAGAUGGACCCGCGCCGUAUUAGCUAGUUGGUAAGGUAACGGCUUACCAAGGCAACGAUACGUAGCCGACCUGAGAGGGUGAUCGGCCACACUGGAACUGAGACACGGUCCAGACUCCUACGGGAGGAAGCAGUAGGGAAUCUUCCGCAAUGGGCGAAAGCCUGACGGAGCAACGCCGCGUGAGUGAUGAAGGGUUUCGGCUCGUAAAACUCUGUUAUUAGGGAAGAACAAACGUGUAAGUAACUGUGCACGUCUUGACGGUACCUAAUCAGAAAGCCACGGCUAACUACGUG
rnacentral:rRNA from 1 species